CUCAGUUCGGACUGGAGUCUGCAACCCGACUCCACGAAGCUGGAUUCGCUAGUAAUCGCGCAUCAGCCAUGGCGCGGUGAAUACGUUCCCGGGCCUUGUACACACCGCCCGUCAAGCCAUGGGAGCCGGGGGCGCCUGAAGUCCGGGACCGCGAGGACCGGCCUAGGGCGAAACUGGUAACUGGGGCUAAGUCGUAACAAGGUAAC
rnacentral:rRNA from 1 species